AGAGUUUGAUCCUGGCUCAGGAUGAACGCUAGCGGCAGGCUUAAUACAUGCAAGUCGAACGGCAGCACGUGUAGCAAUACAUGGUGGCGAGUGGCGCACGGGUGCGUAACACGUAUGUAACCUACCUCUAACAGUGGCAUAACAAUGAGAAAUUAUUGCUAAUUCCGCAUGUGGUUAAUUUGAGGCAUCUUAGAUUAACUAAAGAUUUAUCGGUUAGAGCUGGGCAUGCGUCCCAUUAGCUAGUUGGUGAGGUAACGGCUCACCAAGGCAUCGAUGGGUAGGGGCUCUGAGAGGAUUGUCCCCCACACUGGUACUGAGACACGGACCAGACUCCUACGGGAGGCAGCAGUAAGGAAUAUUGGGCAAUGGACGCAAGUCUGACCCAGCCAUGCCGCGUGAAGGAAGACGGCCCUAUGGGUUGUAAACUUCUUUUCUCAGGGGGUAAACUCUGGAACGUGUUCCGGACUGAAAGUACCUGAGGAAUAAGCAUCGGCUAACUCCGUGCCAGCAGCCGCGGUAAUACGGAGGAUGCGAGCGUUAUCCGGAUUCAUUGGGUUUAAAGGGUGCGCAGGCGGAUAUAUAAGUCGGAGGUGAAAUUCUGAUGCUCAACAUCAGCCGUGCCUUCGAUACUGUAUAUCUAGAGUCAAGUUGGAGUAGGCGGAAUGUGUUGUGUAGCGGUGAAAUGCUUAGAUAUAACACAGAACACCGAUCGCGAAGGCAGCUUACUAAACUUUGACUGACGCUCAUGCACGAAAGCGUGGGGAUCCAACAGGAUUAGAUACCCUGGUAGUCG
rnacentral:rRNA from 1 species